rnacentral:rRNA from 1 species
ACGAACGCUGGCGGCGUGCUUAACACCUGCCAGUCGAACGGUGACGGCGGAGCUUGCUCCUCCUGAUCAGUGGCGAACGGGUGAGUAACACGUGAGCAAUCUGCCCCUGACUCUGGGAUAACUGCGGGAAACUGUAGCUAAUACCGGAUACGACGCGCGAAGGCAUCUUCUGCGCGUGGAAAGAAUUUCGAUCAGGGAUGAGCUCGCGGCCUAUCAGCUUGUUGGUGAGGUAAUGGCUCACCAAGGCGACGACGGGUAGCCGGCCUGAGAGGGUGACCGGCCACACUGGGACUGAGACACGGCCCAGACUCCUACGGGAGGCAGCAGUGGGGAAUAUUGCACAAUGGGCGCAAGCCUGAUGCAGCAACGCCGCGUGAGGGACGACGGCCUUCGGGUUGUAAACCUCUUUUGGCAGGGAAGAAGCGAAAGUGACGGUACCUGCAGAAAAAGCUCCGGCUAACUACGUG